rnacentral:rRNA from 1 species
AUGGGGAGAAACAGAGCAACAACUAUGCAUUCAUUUUUCAAAAUAAAAAGAGAUGACACAUCUGUUGAAGUUGAAGGUCUUUUGCCUCUUGAAUCUCUACCAUUGGCAUUGCUUGAACACGAGUAUCAUACUGAGAAUGAAGAACAACAUCAAACUGAAAAUGAAGAAGCAGAACAGCUGAGUGAAAAUGAUGAACGACAAACAAAUGAGCCUAUCAUAUUUCGAGGUGUCGAGUUCUUGCAGAGAGAUCCUGCAUUGCGACCACAAAUUUGGCAAUAUCCACCUAAUGUGAGAGAUGAAGUGCGAAGAGCAUACAUGCAACUAGGUCCUAUGCAGCCAAAACUGAAUGAGUACAAACCUUCUGGAAAACCUGGGCAUCAACGGCGUUUCCAAUUCAGUUGGUUCAAGGAUUUUCCAUCAUGGUUAGAAUAUUCUACUCGUGCUUAUUGUUUUUACUGCUUCCUAGGCAACAAAAACAUCAAGAAACGAAGUGGUUUUGAUGUGUUUUCUGCUCAUGGCUUUGACCAUUGGAAAAAAGUUUAA